rnacentral:tRNA from 1 species
CGGGGUGUAGCUCAGCUUGGUUUAGAGUACUCGUCUGGGGGGCGAGGGGUCGCAAGUUCAAAUCCUGUCACCCCGA